rnacentral:rRNA from 1 species
UACGUAGGGUGCGAGCGUUAAUCGGAAUUACUGGGCGUAAAGUGUGCGCAGGUGGCCGCGCAAGUCGCGUGUGAAAUCCCCGGGCUUAACUUGGGAAUUGCGCUCGAAACUACGUGGCUCGAGUGUGGCAGAGGAAGGUGGAAUUCCAGGUGUAGCGGUGAAAUGCGUAGAUAUCUGGAGGAACACCGGUGGCGAAGGCGGCAUCCUGGACCAACACUGACACUGAGGAGCGAAAGCCAGGGGAGCAAACGGG